rnacentral:lncRNA from 1 species
CACACUGUGCGUGUGUGUGGUCGAUCGCACAAGGCAGAGGGAAAGGGGUAAACCCUAAUUCUCAAGAAAUCUCCAAAUUGAAAAGGGAAUUGAAGGUUUUUAGGAUGCAUGUAUCAAGAUUAUCGAUCUCCUAAGUGUUCUUCACUAUCAAGAACGUGUCAAGGAGAGGUCAAGCAUAGGAGGAUAACGGGUCAAGAUAAGGCAAGGUGACAAAUACACUUAAUGGAGUACUCGAGGUAAGUGAAUUUCGAUUCACUUUUUAGUAGGUUUAAUAGAUUUUAAUACUUAUGUUUACGAAACAUCAUGAAAGAACAUGUAAUAAUCAGAAGUACAAAGCCAAUAAUGCCUCAUUAUUGAGGAAGGUUGUAUUUAAGCCGAAAGUAAAUUGGUGGGUUUAAACGGGUCGAAUUUUAUGUGCAUAUGUUGCGUAAUGUAAUGAAAUUCGUUAUGGUUAAGACCUUGGGUAGGAAUUUUUAGUCAUUAUGUAAGGGGAACACUUCCCGGACCAUUAGGAACAAGUUUUAUAUGAUUCGGUUGUCGGUUAGUUAAUGAACGGAUUGUUUCAUGUUAGUGUAGGAAAUUUUAUAAGUAUAUGUGUAUAGGAACCCAAAGGGCACGUGGGUUGAAUCAUAGAUUGUCUAUACUAUGUAAAGUUGUGAAUGUGACAUUCCGGCAUAAACCUACAUGUAAAAGAAGCUUGUGUAUAUAUUCGUGAUUAAUUGAUUGUGCGUAGGAAGGAACAUUGGCAUGUAUGAAGGUACGCAUGUAUAUGUAAGUGUGUAUAUAUACAUAUAUGUAUGUAUGUAUGAUAAUAAGUACGUAGGUGUGAAUGUAUGUGUGAAUGAAUGUUCAAUGCUUAAGACAUAUGCAUGAACGUUAUCAAAGUGUUCGAGUAUUUAUGGUUACUAAUGAUGUGCGUCGAGUUGGAAUGUAAUGUAGGUAUGGGAUCGUCGGCUUCAUGAAGAAAUGGAGCUGGAUUUGGAUAAGAGUAUUUAAGAAAGCGCUUGGACAAUUCCACGACUACUUUAUAGAAUGCUCUACGAAAUUCUAUUAUAUAGUUUAAUGUUGUAUGGUAUGUUAAUGACUAAUGGUUUGGUUGUACGUGGUGUCCACAGGUAUCGCUUGGGUUUUCUCUACAUUUAUUGAAGUGAAGCGGACUUAGUUCGAGUUGAGAGCAAGGAUUGUACGGGGUAGAAUGGUCACAUAGUGUAACUCAUAUAGAUUUUGAAGUAUUAAUGUUAUAAAUCCGUUUUAAUGAAUAUAUGGCUUUUCGCAUUUGAACCUUCAUGUGUUUGAUAUGUCUAUUAAAGAACGAAAUUUUUGGGCUCU